AUUGAACGCUGGCGGCAGGCCUAACACAUGCAAGUCGAGCGGAGCGGCGGACGUGUGAGUAAUGCCUAGGAAUCUGCCUGGUAGUGGUGGAUGACGUCCGGAAACGGGCGCUAAUACCGCAUACUAUCAGAUCAGCCUAGGUCGGAUUAGCUAGUUCGUUGGGUAACGGCCUACCAAGGCGACGAUCCGUAACUGGUCUGAGAGGAUGAUCAGUCACACGGGAACUGAGAAACGGUCCAGACUCCUACGGGAGGCAGAAGUGGGGAAUAUUGGAGAAUGGGCGAAAGCCUGAUCCAGCCAGGCCGCGUGUGUGAAGAAGGUCUUCGGAUUGUAAAGCACUUUAAGUUGGGAGGCGUUACCAACAGAAUAAGCACCGGCUAACUUCGUGCCAGCCGACGCGGUAAUAC
rnacentral:rRNA from 1 species